rnacentral:rRNA from 1 species
UACGAAGGGGGCUAGCGUUGUUCGGAAUUACUGGGCGUAAAGCGUGCGCAGGCGGCUUCUCAAGUCAGGGGUGAAAGCCCAGAGCUCAACUCUGGAAUUGCCUUUGAGACUGAGUGGCUUGAGUACGGGAGAGGUGAGUGGAAUUCCCAGUGUAGAGGUGAAAAUUCGUAGAUAUUGGGAAGAACACCGGUGGCGAAGGCGGCUCACUGGCCCGUAACUGACGCUCAUGCACGACAGCGUGGGGAUCAAACAGG